GAUGAACGCUGGCGGCGUGCCUAAUACAUGCAAGUCGAACGGAGAUUGUAGCAAUACUAUCUUAGUGGCGAACGGGUGAGUAACGCGUUGGUGGCCUGCCCCAGAGUGAGGGAUAACAGUCCGAAAGGAUUGCUAAUACCUCAUACGGUCUUUUAGAUUAGUAGCUUUUAGACCAAAGGAGUAAUUCGCUCUGGGAGGGGCCUGCGUCCCAUCAGCUUGUUGGUGAGGCAAUGGCUUACCAAGGCUUUGAUGGGUAGGGGACCUGAGAGGGUGGCCCCCCACAAAGGAACUGAAACACGGUCCAUACAUCUACGGAUGGCAGCAGUAGGGAAUAUUAGUAAUGGGCGAAAGCCUGAACUAGCAACGCCGCGUGUGCGAUGAAGGCCUUCGGGUUGUAAAGCACUUUUUAAGGGGAUGAGGAAGGACAGUACCCUUAGGAUAAGCCUCGGCUAACUACGUGCCAGCCGCCGCGGUAAUAC
rnacentral:rRNA from 1 species